CUACGGGACGCUGCAGUGAGGAAUAUUGCGCAAUGGGGGAAACCCUGACGCAGCGACGCCGCGUGGAUGAUGAAGGCCUUAGGGUCGUAAAAUCCUGUCAGGUGGGAAGAAGUGGUUAUAGAUUAACACUCUAUUUCUUUGACGGUACCACCAAAGGAAGCACCGGCUAACUCCGUGCCAGCAGCCGCGGUAAUACGGAGGGUGCAAACGUUGUUCGGAAUUACUGGGCGUAAAGCGCGCGUAGGCGGUUUGUUAAGUCAGAUGUGAAAGUCCAUGGCUCAACUAUGGAAGUGCAUUUCAAACUGGCAGACUUGAGUACUGGAGGGGGUGAUGGAAUUCCCGGUGUAGAGGUGAAAUUCGUAGAUAUCGGGAGGAAUACCGGUGGCGAAGGCGAUCACCUGGCCAGAUACUGACGCUGAGGUGCGAAAGCGUGGGGAGCAAACAGGAUUAGAUACCCUCGUAGUC
rnacentral:rRNA from 1 species